AGCGAACGCUGGCGGCUUGCUUAACACAUGCAAGUCGGACGGGGGUGCGUAAGUGCCCCAGUGGCGGACGGGUGAGUAACGCGUAGGUAUCUAUCCAUAGGUGGGGGAUAACAUUGGGAAACUGGUGCUAAUACCGCAUAAUACCUGAGGGUUAAAGGCGUAAGUUGCCUAUGGGGGAGCCUGCGUUUGAUUAGCUAGUUGGUGGGGUAAAGGCCUACCAAGGCGAUGAUCGAUAGCUGGUUUGAGAGGAUGAUCAGCCACACUGGGACUGAGACACGGCCCAGACUCCUGCGGGAGGCAGCAGUGGGGAAUAUUGGACAAUGGGGGCAUCUCUGAUCCAGCAAUGCCGCGUGUGUGAAGAAGGUCCUCGGAUUGUAAAGCACUUUCGACGGGGACGAUGAUGACGGUACCUGUAGAAGAAGCUCCGGCUAACUUC
rnacentral:rRNA from 1 species